GUUUCUGUAAGCUUUCAGGUAUAAACGUGUCAGGCGAGGAAAAUACAUUUGCUUGUCGAGAAGAGAACUCUGAACUGCUUAUUGGAGCCAACUGGUAAAUAGUUGUGAACCUACCAAGGUCAGAGAUAUGCAUUGAAGAACAUUUUAAAGCCAAGACCACUUUAAAACUCAAUCAUGCACAACUGUUUUCAUUAGAGGACGGUAAAAAUGUCUUCCUUUCUGAAAUAAGUACCCACAUUUCUACAGAACAUUAUUAAUUGUGUAUGGCUAGCAUAGUUCAAAGCAUUCAAAAUUUUGUGUUGGCUGUUAUGCCAUCCUGGCUGAGUUCGACGCUCCGUGGCCAGUUAUCUCUGGCUGUUGUGCACUUACCAUAUAGGCAUGUAACCAGUUCUUGCCAAAGAAAUGUUUUAGAAAGAUGUGAGGUGCAUCAAGAUAAUAAUUCUCUAAAGUUACUAAGCUCCCAGGAAAUAUGACGCCCUCAGCGAUCUGGUUUUUCUAUCGUUUCUGGUCCCACUGGUCAGCUGGUGUUGACAGAAUCUAAACCGCCUUUGACUAGGUGCCCUGGAUCACUGCUUUUGGGGGGGGACACGCCUCUUUUUCGCCUCUUCAUGGACAGAGUGGGGAGGAGAAAAGGCAGUGGGCAGCUUUGUGGCUUCGCUGGAUUGAUUGCGUGUGGGGGCUUCGAGGGGCGGUGCUGCUCCAACCGGCCACCGCAUCAACAACCACAGGAACCACUUGGUAGUGUGGUUACCUCAUUCGUGUCGACAUCAGUUGUUCAUCCCUGAAGGCGAGGUUCCUGUCCUUUAUCUGAUGGUUUGCUAUAGCUCUUAAUGGAGUUACAUAUAGGUUCCAAACAAUCCAUCGAGGGUUGUUGGUGCGUCUUCAUGUGGCGGUUGAUGGGCCUUUGGUCGUUCGAUUUAUUGGGUGUGUGGAAGAUGGACUCUAGCUCGGGCUCACAUGGUGCGGCAAAAUCGGCCUGAGGCACUUAGCACACAGGGAUAGAGAAAACAGAGAGGCAGGAAAGGAGUGGUCGUUCAGACUUAGUGUUGGAAUUUUCAGGUCACUUGACUUAUUUCUCCACUCUAACUAAAUUAGUAAAUGAGCUAUAAACUUAAUUAAACUUGACAUGAGUGCAAUAUAGAAUGCUUGUGUUCCAUUUUGAGUGCAUUCACACAGUCAGGUACUUGAUGUGUUCAGUUACACAAUUUCAAAAUAGGCUAAUAUUAUCACAAAAUUUUCAGCAGCGACCACUAGAAUGUUUGUCAGGUUACAAAGAAUUGGAAGAUAGGAUGCACUUUUCACCAAAUUUGGAAAGUGCGCGGCUCAGUGUGGUGUUAUUGUUUAUUGAUAACGUCCUGGAUUUGUCAAGUGGUCAUGUUGUGGUUUAACAAAAUAACUUUUCGUCAGACCUAACAGAGUUAUAGAGCAGUCAAAAAUUAGACCACCGGGACAAGAAAGAGAGAAACAUGGAAAGAAGGAGAGAAAUAAAAGAUGUGAAGCCUUCUUAUCUCUUAUCAGUAUGCAAAUAGAUGAACAAUAAGUACUUGCCUAGUAUUGGAACUAUCAUGCUAAUUGUUUCAGGUUUGUCUGUUUGGAAAGAAAAGCACUGGAGUUAGGAAUAUAGGUUUCACAUCAAAAAAAUUGGCUGACAUGCAUUGCAACUUGCCACUGAUUGGUAAACAUCAUCUCCUCUAUUUAUUGCUCUUAACGAGUGCACCCUACAAAUCAAAGCCUUAUAUACAGUGUUGAUGUUGUAUUCAUAAUUCACCCUGUUUUUAUUGUUUCGCAAACAUAAAUGUCAAUUGCUAAGAAUUACUUGAUCAAAUUGCUGUAAUAUGGGUAGAUGAGACAUAUUUCUGGUGGAGAUUGCAUAUCAGUUCUCUUUUGUAGGUCUGAAUAAAUGUACGGUCAUAUUUGUAUUCUCUUCUGUCGGUUUACAGUCCUUGUGAUGAUUACAUACUGAUGUUUUCAUAUAUUUUAAUCUUUUAACAAGGGGAUGUGAUGAGCUUUAUCUCUACCAAUAUAAAAAGACCCUAGGGGGCAGAUCCAAUUAAUCUCAGACAUCAAAUAAGGUCAAUCCAACGACCCAGAUUGCUCCAAUGGCAGCCAUUUUCAAAGAUGUGACUAUGUGAGAGAUCUCCAAACCUCAGUUAAAAUGCCGCACAUGGUACUUAUCUCUUGCAGUUAGAUCUCUUUGGUUGUGUGUUUGUCUCUGACAUUCCUUCCCCUGGAGGUUCUUUCUACUCUGAUGAAUCUUUGAAAGAUGUGAUAUUGGUUUGGUAUGAUUAUCUACUAAUCACAUAAGUAUUAUAGGCGUCGGCCUCUUUCCCUCCAUCAGAACUCUACUUACUUCACCUGUUAUGCAUAUUAUGUUUUCUGACCAGGUGACAGGCACCUUAUUCCUUUUGAGUGCUUCAACAACCUGUAAUGCAGUGCUCUCCAAUUACUCAAUCAAACUUCAAAGGUGUCAGUUACGCUGAUAAGGAAUACGGUCGCUGCAAGGCGGUGGCCGUGGGGUGCAGGAUACACUUUGCUGCUGCCAUUGUGUGACUGGAAACUGACACAUCGGCGUGAAAGCUUCUACGUCGCUGUGCUCCGCAGGGCGGCAGUUUGGUUGGGUGUUUAUACUUUAAAUUUGUAAUCAGCACCUUCCAUUACAAUGGUGAGUUGCGCAUACACAAGCAGUCUACUGUAAGAUGCACAUUAAUUUGUUUUUGCAGGUUGAUACGAAAAAUAUACUCUUCUUUCGUGGAUGUGCCUUAUCUGACAUGGGAAAGAUUUAUCUCAGAAAGUUUAUAUGAUUGGACAUAAUAAAAUCUCUACUUUUUGGAAUGACCCUUUUUUUUAUCUAUAUACUUCCAUAGCGUGUCUGAAAGUAUGUGCACUGUGCAAGACAUAGUCACUGUCCUUUUGGUUCUGGAAGAAUAAUAUUUCAUGAA